CACGUAGGGUGCGAGCGUUGUCCGGAUUCAUUGGGCGUAAAGGGCUAGUAGGCGGCUUAGCAAGUCGGGUGUGAAAUUUCCAGGCUUAACCUGGAACCGCCAUCCGAUACUGCUAUGGCUAGAGUCCGGUAGGGGACCACGGAAUUCCUGGUGUAGCGGUGAAAUGCGCAGAUAUCAGGAGGAACACCGGUGGCGAAGGCGGUGGUCUGGGCCGGCACUGACGCUGAAUAGCGAAAGCGUGGGUAGCAAACAGG
rnacentral:rRNA from 1 species